rnacentral:rRNA from 1 species
AUGGCGACGGCGACGGACCGACUUCUGCGGAGACGGCGCGGCGAGGCGGGGCAGGUGCUGCGGAGGAUGGAGGACGCCGGAGCAGAGCACGACAGCUCCCGCCUUCGCUGCUGUCCGCGCGCGCCCGCGUGGUCGCCUCCGUCCGCGCCGAAGAGCUGCUGUCCGCGCGCGCCUCGCCUCCGUCCGCGCGCGCCUCGCCUCCGUCCGCGCCGGAGCGCUGCUGUCCACGCGCGGCUCACAUUGCUUAUGGUUCUAACUCUAUGGGACAAUCUGAAGUUAUUUGGCUCAUCGUUGUGUCACAAGUUUCUGACAUCACCGUGCCUGUACACCAUCGACUUCACUGGAAAUAUGUCUGCACGUACUUCAUCGUCCGCCGGAACUUUGUCUGACCUGAGGUACGUACUACAGUCUCAUGAAUUUGAAUGUGUCAUCAACUAUUACUUAUUAGUUCUGUAUAUGUUCUUUAGUAUAUUGUAA